UCCCUGGCGGUCCAGUGGUUAGAACUCUGCACUUGCACUGCGGGGGGCCCAGGUUCGAUCCCUGGUCGGGGAA